UGGUUCCUACGGGGGGCGGCAGUCGGGAAUAUUGCGCAAUGGAGGAAACUCCGACGCAGUGACGCCGCGUAUAGGAAGAAGGUUUUCGGAUUGUAAACUAUUGUCGUGAGGGAAGAAAUUGACAGUACCUCAGGAGGAAGCUCCGGCUAACUAUGUGCCAGCAGCCGCGGUAAUACAUAGGGAGCAAGCGUUAUCCGGAUUUAUUGGGUGUAAAGGGUGCGUAGACGGGAAAUUAAGUUAGCUGUGAAAUCCCUCGGCUUAACUGAGGAACUGCAACUAAAACUGAUUUUCUUGAGUACUGGAGG
rnacentral:rRNA from 1 species